rnacentral:rRNA from 1 species
AUUGAACGCUGGCGGCAUGCUUUACACAUGCAAGUCGAACGGUAACAGGCCGCAAGGUGCUGACGAGUGGCGAACGGGUGAGUAAUGCAUCGGAACGUGCCCAGUCGUGGGGGAUAACUGCUCGAAAGAGCAGCUAAUACCGCAUACGAUCUAUGGAUGAAAGCGGGGGACCGUAAGGCCUCGCGCGAUUGGAGCGGCCGAUGUCAGAUUAGGUAGUUGGUGGGGUAAAGGCUCACCAAGCCAACGAUCUGUAGCUGGUCUGAGAGGGCGACCAGCCACACUGGGACUGAGACACGGCCCAGGCUCCUACGGGAGGCAGCAGUGGGGAAUUUUGGACAAGGGGCGCAAGCCUGAUCCAGCAAUGCCGCGUGCAGGAAGAAGGCCUUCGGGUUGUAAACUGCUUUUGUACGGAGCGAAAAGGCUCCCUCUAAUACAGGGGGCUCAUGACGGUACCGUAAGAAUAAGCACCGGCUAACUACGUGCCAGCAGCCGCCGUAACAC